AGCUGUUCCCCUCUGGAGGUUCAUUGACCUUCACACCUUAAAGGGCCCUGGUUUUCCAGUGGCCCUAUUUUUCUGCGUCA
rnacentral:sRNA from 1 species